GAUGAACGCUGGCGGCGUGCCUAAUACAUGCAAGUCGAGCGAACAGAUGAGAAGCUUGCUUCACUGAUGUUAGCGGCGGACGGGUGAGUAACACGUGGGUAACCUACCUAUAAGACUGGGAUAACUCGGGGAAACCGGGCCUAAUACCGGAUAAUAUUUUGAACCGCAUGGUUCAAUAGUGAAAGACGGUUUCGGCUGUAACUUAUAGAUGGACACGCGCCGUAUUAGCUAGUUGGUAAGGUAACGGCUUACCAAGGCGACGAUACGUAGCCGACCGGAGAGGGUGAUCGGCCACACUGGAACUGAGACACGGUCCAGACUCCUACGGGAGGCAGCAGUAGGGAAUCUUCCGCAAUGGGCGAAAGCCUGACGGAGCAACGCCGCGUGAGUGAUGAAGGUCUUCGGAUCGUAAAACUCUGUUGUUAGGGAAGAACAAAUUUGUUAGUAACUGAACAAGUCUUGACGGUACCUAACCAGAAAGCCACGGCUAACUACGUGCCAGCCGCCGCGGUAA
rnacentral:rRNA from 1 species